UAUAUUCUGUUCGUUAAUUUCUAUAAAUGAUUAUACAAGUGUCCCCACUUGGAUAAUCAUUGUAUUUAAUCGCAUGUUGAUACACCUUUGGUAUACAUAUAUGUUGAAUUAUAUAAGACCUUUGUUAUGAAAACCCGACAGAUAUAAACAUCCCGAUAAUGGGAAAAUUUUAUGCGCCCAAGGCGGACAGAGCGAACGAUAACAUCGUUCAUGUUCAUGUAGUAUUGAUCAAUACAGGGUACAACAGGACUGAUCACCCUCCGUACCCGUAAGUCAUGACGGUUUACAGAUGAAUUUCUGUUUAUACCUUUUCGAAAAUGAAAAACAAUGUUCAUGGUAUGUCACAGAAACCCCAUAUACAGUCAAUACGUA
rnacentral:lncRNA from 1 species